UGAUCGAGCAACUAGUAGUCCUAUCUAUCCACCUCUGCAGACACAAUAUCUUGAGUACCUAUGAUGGUGACCUUUGGACAUAGAAUCGAGUCCUUGUGAAUGGACAAAGUCAGGCGCAUAGAUAGAUAAUAAGGGUAUCAAUUCAUAUGAUCAUGUCCUAUUCAGUGGAAUAACUAUAAAAUAGAAAUUAGCUUUUGGAGAGAUGGCUA
rnacentral:lncRNA from 1 species